rnacentral:tmRNA from 1 species
GGGGAUGUAAUAGAUUCGCCCGUUAUCACGGGACUAUGGUAAGCGCGCCGCAGGCUGUUGCGAUAAAAGGCAAUUUCAAAUUUAAACGCUAAUAAUAAUCAAAGAUUAGCUCUCGCUGCUUAAUUGCGAGCGUCGCCCCGGCUGACCGCAUGACCGGCAAGCGGCGUGAGAAAGUGCGGUAAAAUACGUUUGUGUGCGUCCGCGGCAUAAACGGGUAUCUUAGCGGAAUACCGAGGUUUACCCCGCCGAUGGGGGAAGCGCAGGAAAAUCAAAACGUCGGAUACGCGCGUAGAAGUCCGUAGGGACGGAUGGCGGUACACGGGUGCAAUUCCCGUCAUCUCCACCA